rnacentral:rRNA from 1 species
UACGUAGGGGGCAAGCGUUGUCCGGAAUCAUUGGGCGUAAAGCGCGUGUAGGCGGUUCGAUAAGUCUGCUGUGAAAGUCCAGGGCUCAACCCUGGAAAGCCGGUGGAUACUGUCGGACUAGAGUGCGGAAGAGGCGAGUGGAAUUCCCGGUGUAGCGGUGAAAUGCGCAGAUAUCGGGAGGAACACCAAUUGCGAAGGCAGCUCGCUGGGACGGUACUGACGCUGAGACGCGAAAGCGUGGGGAGCGAACAGG